UUUUGGUGUUUCCAUUAUCGACAACAGUAAUAGCGCUGCUAAUUAGCAUUCGUUGCCUUGCUUGCUCUUUCAUCCUUAUUAUUUAUGUGGAUAAAGAUUCUGCUAAUGGCUUUUUGAUAUGACAUCAUUAAAACACAAAUCCGAUGUACCUGUUUCUUCAACACAGUUACUAUUGAGAUUGUUUACUUAAACGUACAUAUUGGUGACAUUGCCGUUAUUUGCUUUGCGUAGAAAGGCGUUUUUAUAUAACUU